rnacentral:rRNA from 1 species
GAUGAACGCUAGCGACAGGCUUAACACAUGCAAGUCGAGGGGCAGCAUAGAAGUAGCAAUACUUUGGUGGCGACCGGCGCACGGGUGAGUAACGCGUAUGCAACCUACCUAUCAGAGGGGAAUAACCCGGCGAAAGUCGGACUAAUACCGCAUAAAACAGGGGCACCGCAUGGUGAUAUUUGUUAAAGAAAUUCGCUGAUAGAUGGGCAUGCGUUCCAUUAGGUAGUUGGUGAGGUAACGGCUCACCAAGCCGACGAUGGAUAGGGGAACUGAGAGGUUGGUCCCCCACACUGGUACUGAGACACGGACCAGACUCCUACGGGAGGCAGCAGUGAGGAAUAUUGGUCAAUGGGCGAGAGCCUGAACCAGCCAAGUCGCGUGAAGGAAGAAGGAUCUAUGGUUCGUAAACUUCUUUUGCAGGGGAAUAAAGUGCGGGACGUGUCCUGCUUUGUAUGUACCCUGAGAAUAAGGAUCGGCUAACUCCGUGCCAGCCGCCGCAGUAACAC